rnacentral:tRNA from 1 species
GCCGAAAUAGCUCAGUUGGUAGAGCAACUGAUUCGUAAUCAGUAGGUCGGAGGUUCGACUCCUCUUUUCGGCACCA